UACGUAGGGUGCGAGCGUUAAUCGGAAUUACUGGGCGUAAAGCGUGCGCAGGCGGUUCGUUAUGUCCGAUGUGAAAGCCCCGAGCUUAACUUGGGAAUGGCAUUGGAAACUGGCGGGCUGGAGUGCGGCAGAGGGGGGUGGAAUUCCACGUGUAGCGGUGAAAUGCGUAGAUAUGUGGAGGAACACCGAUGGCGAAGGCAGCCUUCUGGGCCAACACUGACGCUCAUGCACGAAAGCGUGGGGAGCAAACAGG
rnacentral:rRNA from 1 species